ACUCGAGACAGGUGCUGCAUGGCUGUCGUCAGCUCGUGUUGUGAAAUGUUGGGUUAACGUCCGCAACGAGCGCAACCCCUAUCCUUUGUUGCCAGCGAUUCGGUCGGGAACUCAAAGGAGACUGCCGGUGAUAAACCGGAGGAAGGUGGGGAUGACGUCAAGUCAUCAUGGCCCUUACGAGUAGGGCUACACACGUGCUACAAUGGCGUAUACAAAGAGAAGCGACCUCGCGAGAGCAAGCGGACCUCAUAAAGUACGUCGUAGUCCGGAUUGGAGUCUGCAACUCGACUCCAUGAAGUCGGAAUCGCUAGUAAUCGUAGAUCAGAAUGCUACGGUGAAUACGUUCCCGGGCCUUGUACACACCGCCCGUCACACCAUGGGAGUGGGUUGCAAAAGAAGUAGAUAGCUUAACCUUCGGGAGGGCGUUUACCACUUUGUGAUUCAUGACUGGGGUGAAGUCGUAACAAGGUAGGCGUAGCGAG
rnacentral:rRNA from 1 species